UACAGAGGGUGCAAGCGUUAAUCGGAGUUACUGGGCGUAAAGGGCGCGUAGGUUGUAGAAUAAGUUUUUUGUGAAAUCCCCAGGCUUAACCUGGGAACUGCAUUCGAGACUGCAUUGCUAGAGUAUGGGAGAGGGAAGUGGAAUUCCGAGUGUAGAGGUGAAAUUCGUAGAUAUUCGGAAGAACACCAGUGGCGAAGGCGACUCACUGGACACAUAUUGACGCUGAGGUGCGAAAGCGUGGGGAGCGAACAGG
rnacentral:rRNA from 1 species